rnacentral:lncRNA from 1 species
CACCUCCAUCACUGUUAUCACCACCAGCAUCAACACCACCAUCACCAUCAGCAGCAUCAGGACCAUCACCACCACCACCACCACCAGUACAAUCACUCCUGAGCUCUCACUUGCCAGGGGCUGUUCUGGGAGCUGUACAAAUCCCCUCAUGCCAUGAUCAUGACAAUCCCACGUUACUGGCCCUGCUAUACCUCUAUUUCACAAAUGUAGAAACGAAGCUCCAGAGAGGUGAAGAGCCAUGCCCACUGAGCUGGUCAGAGGUCUGAAAGAUUCAUAAUGUUUUAAAGAUCCAGAGCCACUUCUGCCGGACACCAACAGGAAUGCAUCUAACUUCCGAGCUCCCCUGACCAGACGUGGGGGAUGGAGGCGUUGCUCCUGGGACAUUUUAUCCAACUAGCUCUCCACUCCUCACUCAGUACUUCUGAAGUCUGCUGCUAAGAGGGGAGAGGUCACACUGUCAAUGUGGGUGCCAUUCUCUGUGGUAACUGCUACCAAACCAGGUGCGGGGCCAGCCGCUGAGAUUCGGAGCCCUGGCCAAGCAGACUCCAGGGAGCACAGGCUGGAGCUGGCUUGUAACUCUCUUCGGUGAAGCCCCCUGUAGUCCAGGGCAGUGCCUCUUGAGACAUUACCAUCCUCCCCCAGCUCUCAGAUGCCCCGCCCUGCAGGAUAUUACACGCGCUCGCCUUUGGCUGAAUACCUGCAGUGGGGGGUGGAGAAUGUCACAGGGAAUAUCAGGCUUAUUUUUCAAACUUUUCCCUCCUGUCCAUCUCUUGUAUCAACUCCCGGGGACCGUCAUCUUGCAUCUGAAUUAUUGCAGCAGCUUCCGACCUGAUCCUCUGCUUUCAAUCUCCUUCCCUGCUACUCUUGACUCCACAGAACAGCCCCACUGGUCUUUUUAAAGGCUAAAUUCAAUCAUACUUGCCCCCUGCUUAAAGACCCUCUGUGGGGAAGGAGAGGGUGAGACAAAUUCAGACAGUAGCACUGAAACAUAUCAAUUACCAUAUGUAAAACAGGUAGCCAGCGGGAAGCUUCUGUAUAGCACAAGCGAGCUCAGCCCAGUGCCCUGUGAUGACCUCAAGGGGUGGGUGGGAAGCUCAAGAGAGAGGGCAUGUGUACACGUUUACGGCUGAUUCAUCUUGCUGUCGGGCAGAAACCAACACAACAUUGUAAAGCUAUUAUCCUCCAAUUAGAAGUAAAUUUUUUAAAAAGACCCUCUGCGUUCUCCUCUUUUUUUUUUUCCU